rnacentral:snRNA from 1 species
GUGCCAUGCUUGCUUUGGUGGCACACAUAUUAAACUUGGGACCAUACAGAGAUUUGCACGGCCCUUGCGCAAAAAUGACAUGGACUCGUGAAGUGAUCCAUAUUAGA